rnacentral:tmRNA from 1 species
AAGCGCGUCGUCUAUUGCCGAGGGCGUCCCCAUAAUUCGGGCAUGGCUGUAGUUGCGGCAAGUCGGAUGCGUUUCGGACGCGGGUUCGAUUCCCGCCACCUCCUCCACAGGGGGGGUACUGGUUUCGACGGGGCGAUUGAGGAUGGGCAGGCAGCCCGAGAGGCGACGGACGUAAUCCGCGCAAAUCCAUAGUUGCCAGUAUGAGCAAUUCGCUAACGCUGCUUAAACAGCAUAGCUGGGGCCGCUGAAGCCUCAUUACCCAAGACAGCCGGCGGGGACUUCGGUCCCCGUCGUCA